rnacentral:rRNA from 1 species
UACGGGGGGGGGCAAGCGUUAUUCGGAAUUAUUGGGCGUAAAGGGCGCGUAGGCGGCCUGGCAAGUGACGGGGUGAAAGCCCUCGGCUCAACCGAGGAACUGCCUGUCAUACUGCCCGGGCUUGAGUCCGGGAGAGGUGAGUGGAAUUCCCAGUGUAGCGGUGAAAUGCGUAGAUAUUGGGAGGAACACCAAUGGCGAAGGCAGCCUUCUGGGCCAACACUGACGCUCAUGCACGAAAGCGUGGGGGAGCAAAACAGG